CUGGUCUGUGUCUGCACAGAACUAACUAGUUGCCACACAAUGGUUGGAAUAAACGGCUUGGGAUAAUCUGAAGUGAAAAUAUUUCCAGCUCCAAAUUUGAGGCCAGUGGCAAGCCAGAGGAAAAAGUCAUAUCUAUCCACCAAAGAAACCCUCCAGCCCAGUGCCCUAAGAAUACACCCUGGCUAGACGACUGGCCUGAGGAGGAUGAGAAACAUGGGAUCAUCUGAUCCGAGCCAACAUCCAAACAUGACAGAAGAAAGAAGACAGACCUUCAGCCCCCCAACAACAGGUGCCUCAAGAAUGGACGGUGAUCGCCAUCUAGUGGCCUCCAACUGAAAGCACAGCAAAUUGAGCCAAAGGCACCAGACUUCAUUUCUAACUUCCUAUUCCCAGUAUACACCUUUCUCAUUCCUGCAAAGCAGCACUGUGCCUGAGAAAGAGCACCCCACAGACUUGAGUUCAAGCCCCAACUCUGCCCUCGACCAACUCUGAACUCUAGGGAAGACACUCAGUCUCCCUAAACAUCAAGUUCCUCCUCUGGAAAGUGGAUCGGUAUUGCCCCGUGGGAUGGGCGUCGACUCUGAUAUGAAACAGAACUGCAUUCGUGCACUGAGUACCAACACGGCUUUUCUGAACUUC